AACGAACGCUGGCGGCAUGCCUAACACAUGCAAGUCGAACGAGACCUUCGGGUCUAGUGGCGCACGGGUGCGUAACGCGUGGGAAUCUGCCCUUGGGUUCGGAAUAACAGUUAGAAAUGACUGCUAAUACCGGAUGAUGACUUCGGUCCAAAGAUUUAUCGCCCAAGGAUGAGCCCGCGUAGGAUUAGCUAGUUGGUAGGGUAAAGGCCUACCAAGGCGACGAUCCUUAGCUGGUCUGAGAGGAUGAUCAGCCACACUGGGACUGAGACACGGCCCAGACUCCUACGGGAGGCAGCAGUGGGGAAUAUCGGACAAUGGGCGAAAGCCUGAUCCAGCAAUGCCGCGUGAGUGAUGAAGGCCCUAGGGUUGUAAAGCUCUUUUACCCGGGAUGAUAAUGACAGUACCGGGAGAAUAAGCCCCGGCUAACUCCGUGCCAGCAGCCGCGGUAACAC
rnacentral:rRNA from 1 species